GUCCUGACGAUCGGCUCGUGGGUAUCCACGAUCUCCACGCACGUGUUGAGACCCACGAGCAAAAAGU
rnacentral:sRNA from 1 species